UACGUAGGGACCAAGCGUUGUCCGGAAUCAUUGGGCGUAAAGAGCGUGUAGGCGGCUUGUUAAGUCUUGCGUGAAAUCUUGGGGCUCAACCCCGAGCGGUCGUGAGAAACUGGCAGGCUAGAGUGCGGGAGAGGAGAGUGGAAUUCCUGGUGUAGCGGUGAAAUGCGCAGAUAUCAGGAAGAACACCCGUGGCGAAGGCGGCUCUCUGGAACGCAACUGACGCUGAGACGCGAAAGCGUGGGGAGCAAACAGG
rnacentral:rRNA from 1 species